CCUACGGGCGGCAGCAGUGGGGAAUAUUGGGCAAUGGAGGAAACUCUGAACCAGCAACGCCGCGUGAAUGAUGAAGGUCCUAGGAGUGGAAAGUUCUUUUCAAAGGGAAGAAGAAAGUGCCGGUACCUUAGGAAUAAGCCUCGGCUAACUACGUGCCAGCAGCCGCUGUAAUACGUCGGCGGCGGGCGUUAGGAGGAUUGAAUGGGUGUAAAGGGUGCGUAGGUGGUUUGGUAAGUUAGUAGGGAAAGUCAAGGGCUCAACCGUGGAACUGCUACUAAAACUGUUGGACUUGAGUACAGUAGGGGUGACCGGAAUUCCUGGUGUAGCGGUGGAAUGCGUAGAUAUCAGGAAGAACACCAGUGGCGAAGGCGGGUUGCUAGACUGCAACUGACACUGAGGCACGAAAGUGUGGGUAGCAAACAGGAUUAGAUACCCGGGUAGUC
rnacentral:rRNA from 1 species